rnacentral:rRNA from 1 species
UACGGAGGGGGCUAGCGUUGUUCGGAAUUACUGGGCGUAAAGCGCACGUAGGCGGCUUUGCAAGUCAGAGGUGAAAGCCCGGGGCUCAACCCCGGAAUUGCCUUUGAGACUGCAUCGCUAGAAUUGUGGAGAGGUAAGUGGAAUUCCGAGUGUAGAGGUGAAAUUCGUAGAUAUUCGGAAGCACACCAGUGGCGAAGGCGACUUACUGGACACAUAUUGACGCUGAGGUGCGAAAGCGUGGGGAGCAAACAGG